rnacentral:hammerhead_ribozyme from 1 species
AUUCAGCUGACGAGUUUCAAAUAGGACGAAACAAGUGUCCUCGAU